AAGAAUUUGGCGGUGUUUUAGUCUAUUUAGAGGAACCUGUCCUGUAAUCGAUAAUCCACGUUGGACCUUACGAAGGUUUGUUUUCAAUUUGUAUAUCGCCGUUAUCAGAAUAUCUUAAAAGAGGAAUAAUUUUCUAAAUUUAAUAAUAUAAAUGAUGUCAGGUCAAGGUGCAGUUUAUAUUUUAGUAGAGAUGGGUUACAAUAAAUUUAUUUAUACGUUAAAUUGUUUGCAAUAAUGAUUUUAAGGUGGAUUUAAAAGUAAAAUAAUUAAUAAAAUUUAUUUGAUUAUAGCUCUAAAAC
rnacentral:rRNA from 1 species